rnacentral:lncRNA from 1 species
AUGUGUGCAUGCAUUUUGUGUGUGUGUGUGUGUGUUGUGUGGAUGCCUCUGGCUCAGCCUAAUAAAAAUAUCUGGCAAGAUUCUUUAAAGUCUGAGGGGAAAGACCAGAAUGAAAACAACCCUUCUAACGCCCAAACGGUGGAUAGCUUUUCUGGACCCGAAGAUCCUAAAAAUUGCGCUGACGUGACAGCUUGCGACCGACUCUCCCAGGCUGCCACACCUGGAGGACAGGACGGGAAACACAGCAGUGACCGGCCACCACACCAAGGGAGCGAGCGAGGCCAGCCACUGCGGGCCCCUGUGUUCCGGCUGGAUUCCAGGUCCUUAAAGGCAUAUGAUCUCGUGAAGCAAGACUUCCUGAGAGGGGAUCAAUCCGAGCUCUUCUCUCCAAGGACGUGGUUCCCAGUUUGUUCAGGUCGGGAAGAGAUGGUGGGAAACUUUCAUCUCUAUCAGCGGAAGGCGCCUUCCAAAGAAAGGCAAUGGCAGCACUUUGAUGGGCAGCCCUCAGUUUCCCAAGAGCAGCGACGGUCCAGCAAGGAAAUCUUCCUACCUCGCCUCACUGGGGCUUCUCCUUUCCUGAGAGCGGUGGGCAACCUUGUCGAAGGUUCGUCUAUUUCAGGAAAGAGCACGGGACAAAAUCAGACAGAGGCCAAGCAGCGGUGUCGGCAUCCGCGACUGAAACGUUCUCGUUUCGGAAGGAACGAGCAGAAAUGGCACUGAGCACGUCGGAUCUGAAUGUGGACAGAAGGGCCCUGAGCACAGGCUGCCGUGAAAGCAUUAUGUUCACGCAGUGGUGGUUAACCUGUGGCUCAAAGGACAUUCGGAGCCCUUCGUGGUCUCCCCGCCCCAGCCAGGCAAGCUGACUUGUUCCUCGUGACAGAGCUUCGUAGGCAGGGUAUUUGGGGGCAAAUCCUACUUUGUCUUUGUUCAAUAAGACUAAAUUAACUAAUACCUACCCCAUUCUUUUUUUUUUUUUUUNUUGUCUUUUUGCCAUUUCUUUGGGCCGCUACCGCAGCAUAUGGAGAUUCCCAGGCUAGGAAUCAGAGCUGUAGCCACCGGCCUAUGCCAGAGCCUCAGCAACGCUGGAUCCGAGCCGCGUCUGCAACCUACACCACAGCUCACGGCAACGCCGGAUCGUUAACCCACUGAGCAAGGGCAGGGACCGAACCCGCAACCUCAUGGUUCCUAGUCGGAUUCGUUAACCACUGCGCCACGAUGGGAACUCCCCCCCAUUCUUAAUAAACAAAAACCCUACUACCUUAAAAAUUUGGCU